GCUAGGAACCAUGGAGACAUUGUGCAGUGUUAACUCCGGGUUUUUAUUUUUGACGCACUUCAGUUACCCGGGACAACCAUUCGGGAAACAAGCUGCGAGAGGGUCUUCAGAAAAAACCCCAUUAUGAAGACGUGAACAACAUCAAGAUUGCUGUGAGAAUGGACCUGUGGAGGAUCUUGGAAAAAUAAUUUCAGGAGGGGAUAAAAGCAUGACAGAGAAAGCUUGGACAGUGCAUUACAGUAUUUGAUGGUAAAGUCUUGUAGUUUAGACCAUUUUUUGUGACACCUAUCCUGAAAAUUUUCUGACACACCUUAUCUUCUCAACAAGAAUGACUUUUGCUGUUGCACUGUUAAAACUCACACUGUUGCUGUUGAACCACAAAACAGAAUUAUUACACUUUUAGGGUGACUUGUUUGAAAGUAAUAAUAAAAGCAAUUGUAAUUGAGUGUAACCAAUACAAUACAGCUUUAUUUAUAUAGCGCUUUCAUAACAGCUGCAACAAAGCGCUUUACAGAACAUAUUUCAAAGCUCUCACUUUCUUUUUAUAAGAGUCAAACCCUCCACACGACACAAUAUUUCAAGAGAUAGGCUGCCCCGUAUGCUAUUUGUCAAGUGUGUAAAACUAGCAUGACAUUAGUAUAAUUGUGCUUUAGUAGCCAAUGUGAAUUAAUAAAAUGCCUGCUUUUGUUCA